AGCGAACGCUGGCGGCAGGCCUAACACAUGCAAGUCGAACGAAGUCUUCGGACUUAGUGGCGGACGGGUGAGUAACACGUGGGAACGUGCCUUUAGGUUCGGAAUAACUCAGGGAAACUUGUGCUAAUACCGAAUGUGCCCUUCGGGGGAAAGAUUUAUCGCCUUUAGAGCGGCCCGCGUCUGAUUAGCUAGUUGGUGAGGUAAAGGCUCACCAAGGCGACGAUCAGUAGCUGGUCUGAGAGGAUGAUCAGCCACACUGGGACUGAGACACGGCCCAGACUCCUACGGGAGGCAGCAGUGGGGAAUAUUGGACAAUGGGCGCAAGCCUGAUCCAGCCAUGCCGCGUGGAUGACGAAGGCCCUAGGGUUGUAAAGUCCUUUCGGCGGGGAAGAUAAUGACGGUACCCGCAGAAGAAGCCCCGGCUAACUUCGUGCCAGCCGCCGCCGUAACAC
rnacentral:rRNA from 1 species